UUUUUGGGCCUGUGACUUUGGGUUGCGUGCGAUCUUGGUUCAAUUGGGUUCUUUUGCAGGACAGUUUGCACCAAAGCUAUGUAUGAUUAACUUGCCAAGAGAGAGAAAAAGCUGUUGUUCUUAGACCAAUCAAGGAGCUGAACUUGAAGAGCAAAGAGAAAAGGCUUAUGGAGUAUUCAUGGGAUAUAUUCUGUGGGGAGUCUGGUUGUUCAGACAGUGUUGGAAGGCCCUGCAGUUCUAUUUUUCAGUUUUUGAGCCAUUCCUCGUCGUGCAUUAAUCACAUAUUCAUA